UUAUAGUUUCAUUUAUCCAGUGCAUAAAUAUAAUAUCUGAUAAACAUUUGCUCGUAUCAACUGUCGUUAUCUAAUCAGCUAUUUUUUCCUGAUCUUAAAAUUGACAAAACAAUCAAUCAUUAUCAAUGAGACCGAAAUCAUAUAAUCUAACAUAUCUCGAUUCAUCCGUCAUUUCUUGUUAGAAACGCGAACCUUUCGGAAGAAAUGGCUUCCAAUAGAUUUCCAGAAAGCAGUCGUGGUCGUGUGGACGACGAAAAUUUUCCUGAAAUAAAAUCAUCGAAACAAAUCAUUUUAGGGUGGGACAGUUUUAAUUCGAUAACAUUCUUGAUCCUGAUCGUACUUUUUACCAGUUGGUGUUUGACAUAUUUCAUAGCUUAUGUGCCAAAAGAGGAGCACAAUAAUCCUAGUGGUGGUGGACACGGUAAUCAUUCAGCGCAUGGAUAUUAAAGAUAAAAGGUAGACGGAAGAAGAAAAAUAAUUUAAUGAAAAAAAAAAAGAUAAUAAGUUCCAUAAAUCUAUAGCAUAUGAUCGUGAUUGAUCUUCAUUUAAUGUUCAACGUGUACCGAUGUUUAUUAGUGAAAAAGAAAGAAAAAGAAAAAGGAAAAGAACCUGUGAUCUAUUAUAAAACGUACAUAUGGUUGUUAAUCGUUUCAUAGAAAUAAAUAAAAAGGAGCUGUAUAUAAUGGA